rnacentral:rRNA from 1 species
CGAACGGGUGAGUAACACGUAGAUGAUCUACCUUGAGGCUGGGGAUAGCCUGUGGAAACACAGGGUAAUACCGAAUAAGCUAUUAGGGGUGAAGCCCUGAUAGGAAAGGCGCGAUUGCGCCACCUUAGGAUGAGUCUGCGGCUCAUUAGUUAGUUGGUAGGGUAACGGCCUACCAAGGCGACGAUGGGUAGGGGGUCUGAGAGGAUGACCCCCCACACUGGGACUGAGACACGGCCCAG